AAACUGAUGCUAAUACCAAAUGGUCUUCAUUUCUGUUAGGGAGAUGGAGUAAAGGUGGCCUCUUCAUGAAAGCUACCGUAUAGGGAUGAGCCUGCGUACCAUUAGCUAGUAGGUGGGUAAUGGCCCACCUAGGCUACGAUGGUUAGCGGGUCUGAGAGGAUGAUCCGCCACACUGGAACUGAAACACGGACCAG
rnacentral:rRNA from 1 species